CUUCUGACCAUAGUUGCCAACAUACCGCUAACAGAGUUUCUGACGAACUGAUAGUUCCCCACAAUCAAGGACAUUUGAGCACCAGCUAUCCGAUUGUCCAACUUUGUGGUUCCACUCAAACAGCAUCGCACGAUGACCACACCUAUUGGCCCAACGUGCCUCCAUGGAAUCCCUCUGCAUGUGGUACCCACUGAUUUGAAGUCAUCCCUUGAAGGUUCUCAAUCACUCUCGGAUGCUUCAAAGAUAAAUCAACCCACACAGAUGAAGGCGGAAUCAAUGGCUGUGACAUGGCGUGAUUCUGAAAUGAUGGGCCUUGGUUGACAUAGCUAACUCAAGCGUCUCAACAUACAACCAAUUCCCUUUACAAGGUAGCAUCGUCUCAAACGAUCUUCAUGAUCAUGACGAAUGUCAAUCUAUGCUUUGACGUGAUCGCUGCAAUGA
rnacentral:lncRNA from 1 species